rnacentral:rRNA from 1 species
GAUGAACGCUGGCGGCGUGCCUAAUACAUGCAAGUCGAGCGAACAGACGAGGAGCUUGCUCCUCUGACGUUAGCGGCGGACGGGUGAGUAACACGUGGAUAACCUACCUAUAAGACUGGGAUAACUUCGGGAAACCGGAGCUAAUACCGGAUAAUAUAUUGAACCGCAUGGUUCAAUAGUGAAAGACGGUUUUGCUGUCACUUAUAGAUGGAUCCGCGCCGCAUUAGCUAGUUGGUAAGGUAACGGCUUACCAAGGCAACGAUGCGUAGCCGACCUGAGAGGGUGAUCGGCCACACUGGAACUGAGACACGGUCCAGACGCCUACGGGAGGCAGCAGUAGGGAAUCUUCCGCAAAGGGCGAAAGCUUGACGGAGCAACGCCGCGUGAGUGAUGAAGGUCUUCGGAUCGUAAAACUCUGUUAUUAGGGAAGAACAAAUGUGUAAGUAACUAUGCACGUCUUGACGGUGCCUAACCAGAAAGCCACGGCUAACUACGUG